rnacentral:rRNA from 1 species
UACGUAGGAUGCAAGCGUUGUCCGGAAUUAUUGGGUGUAAAGAGCGCGCAGGCGGUAUGACAAGUCAGAUGUGAAAGAGGCCGGCUUAACCGGCAAGGGUCAUUUGAAACUGUCAGACUAGAGUGCAGCAGAGGAUAGUGGAAUUCCCGGUGUAGUGGUGAAAUGCGUAGAUAUCGGGAGGAACACCAGUGGCGAAGGCGACUAUCUGGGCUGCAACUGACGCUGAGGCGCGAAGGCUAGGGUAGCAAACAGG